GCGGGAAUGAAGUUCUCCCUAAGCUGGCUUGGGCCAGUUUGAACCGCUGAUAAAGCUGAUGACUUCUGCAU
rnacentral:ncRNA from 1 species